UACGGCUCCCCGGGAAGACGCCAGGGGUGGGGCUCUGUCACGCGCCUGGAGCCUCACGUUCGGCUAUCAGCUGCCAUAGGUCAGGUGGCACAAUGAACGUGCUGGAAUACGAGGAAAUUAACCCUACAAGUUAACCAGGCAGCUGCAUAUGUUGGCAUGAUUGAUGAGAUCUGCUACAGUCAAGCAAGCAGCCCUGGGUGACCAGUUUACCCUUCCCCGCUAGGGUUCCAGCUGCCAGUUGCCCCCAUUCUGUGACAGCUUCUCCUUCUUCUCACCUUGUCAUCGAGCCAAGAUUGUACACUGUAGGAGAACAGUGACCUAGACGACUAUGUUUGUUCACCUUUGCCUUCAUCUCUGACCUCAACUCAGGCCACAAGAGGAGAAGAAAUACAGGUUUGCAGCAUCUUGAGAAUGGUGUAGUGGAGAGAAAGUUGACUUUGAAUUUCAGAUAUUGUAUUUUUUACAAAUUGAAGCCUGUGAUAACUCUGCACUAAACAAGUCUAUGGGCACCAAUUUUCCAACAGGAUUUGCUCACUUCAUAUCUCUGUUACAUUUUAGUAAUUCUUCUAAUCUUUCUAACUUUUUCAUUAUUAUUAUGUUUCUUAUGGUGAUCUGUGAUCAGUGACCUUUGAAAUUACUGUUUUAAUUGUUUUGAGGCACCACAAACUGUACCAUGUAAGAUGGCAACUUAAUUGAUAAAUGUUGUGUGUCUACAGACUGUUCCACUGACUGGCCAUUCCCCAGUCUCUCCCCAUCUGCUUGGGUCUCAAUAUUCCCUGAGACAUGACAAUAUUGAAAUUAGACCAAUAACCCACAAAUGGCCUCUAAGUGUUUAAGUGAAAGGAAAAAUUACGUCUCUCACUUUAAAUCAAAAGCUAGAAAUAAUUAAGCUUAGUGAAGAAGGCAUGUCAAAGCUAAGAUAUGCAUGUCAAAAGCAAGGCCUCUUAUGCCAAACAGUCAAGAUAUGAAUGCAAAAGAAAAUUUCUUAAAGGAAAUUAAAAGUGUUACUUCAUUGAAUACAGGAAUGAUAAGGAAGUAAAACAGACUUACUGCUGAUAUGGAGAAAGUUUUAGGGGGCUGGAUAGAAGAUCGAAGCAGCCACAACAUUUCCUUAAGCCAAAGCCCAGUCAAGAGAAAGACUCUAACUCUCUUCAAUUCUAUGAAGGCAGAGAGGUGAGGAAGCAUAACAAAAGUGUGAAGCAAGCAGAGGUUGAUUCAUGAGGUUAUGGGAAAGAAGCCUUCUCCAUAACAUGAAAGUUCAAGAUGAAACAGCAAGUGCCACUAAAUUAUUAGUGGCUACAGCAAGUUAUCUAAAAGAUCCAGCUAAAAUCUUUAAUGAAAGUGACUAUACUAAACAGAAUUUCAAUGUAGAGAGAACACACUUCUAUUGGAAUAAGAUGCCAUCUGGGACUUUCAUAACUGGAGGAAAGAAGUCAAUGCUUGGCUUCAAAGCUUCAAAAGACAGGCUGACUCUCCCGUUAGGUGCUAAUAGAGAUAGUGACUUGAGGAUGAAAACAGUGCUCAUUUACUGUUCCCAAAUCCUAGGCUUUUAAGAAUUAUGUUAAAUCUACUCCAUCUGUUCUUCGUAAGUGGGACAAAAAAGCCUGGAUGAUAGCCUAUCUGAUUAAAACAUGAUCUACUGAAUAUUUUAAACCCAUUGUUGAUACCUGCUGUUCAAAAAAAAAAGUUUUCUUUUUCAAAAUAUUACUGCUCAUUGACAAUGUACCUGUCCCCCAGGAGCCCUGUUGGGGAUAUAUGACGACAUUCAUGUUUUCAUGGCUGCUAGCACAACAUCCAUUCUGCAGCCCAUAGAUCAAGAAGUAAUUUUGACUUUCAAGUCAUCUAAUUUAAAAAAUACAUUUUGUAUUAGCUGUCAUGGGUAGUUAUUUUCUGAUGGAUCUGGACAAAGUAAUUUGAGAUACUUCUGGAAAGGAUUCACCAUACUAGAUGCCAUUAAGAACAUUGGUGAUGUCACAGAAAGAGGUCAAAUAUUGACAUUAACAGGAGUUUGGAAGAAAUUGAUUCCAUGUCUUAUAGUUAGCUGACUUUGAGGGGUUCAGACUUCAGUGAAGGAGGUAAUUGAAGAUGUCAUGGAAAUAGUAAAAGAACUAGAAUUAGAAGUGGAGCCUGAAUUGUGACUGAAUUGCUGCAAUCUCAUGAUAAAACUUAAACACACAAGGAGCUGCUUCUUCAGGAGGAGCAGAGAAGGUGGUUCUUGAGAUGAAAUCUACUCCUGGUGAAGAUGCUGUGAUGCUUGUUGAAAUGACAGCAAAGGAUUUAGAAUAUUACACUUACUUAGUUGAUAAAGCAGCACCAAGGUUUGAGAGGAAUGACUCCCAAUUUUGAAAGAAGAUCUCCUGCGGGUAAAAUGCUGUCAAACAGCAUCGUAUGUUUGAAAUUGUUCAUGAAAAGGAGGGUCCAUCAAUGCAACAAACUUCAUUGCUGCAUUAAGAAAUUGCCACAGCCACCUCAACCUUCAGCAGCCAUCAACCCUGAUCAGUCAGAAGCCGUCAACAAUGUGGCUCCACCAGAGAAAAGAUAUGACUGGCUGAAAGCUCAGACGAUUGUUAGCCUUUUUUUAGCCACAAAAUUUUUUUUGAAUUAAGGUCUUUGCAUUGUUUUCUCAGACAUAAUGCCAUUGCACAUUUAAUAGACUAUAUAGCAUAGUGUAAACAUAACUUAUUUAUAUAACACUUACAUGGUGGAAGUAUAACUUUUAUUUGCCCUGGGAAACCAAAAAGUUCAUUUGACCUGCUUUAUUGCAUUAUUCACUUUACUGAGGUGGUCUUCAACCAAAUCUUUAAUAUCUCCGAUGCAUGUCUGUAUGUAUAACUAUUAUUUUAUGCUACCAAAUGUUUAGAGGUAGUGAAAGAAACUGUGGAAAAGUAGGACAGAAAUUUGCUUUAAAACAAGGGUCAUCACUGAGGAAACAUGUAUUUGACUUCACAUCUAAUUGGAAGGAAAAUCAAGAGAGAGAAAACACAGGGAAUAAAGGCUUAGGCUAAUGUGGGAUCUAGGUUAAGGGACAGAUUGAAGAGUAAAGAUGUCAAAGUGACUUACAGAUAUGCUGACAUAGGGUAAUAAUAUGUGUAUACUUAAGGUAGCAGUAAAAACUCUAUUUAAUAUGACCUACUGAUUGAAUGAGACCUGUUUGAAAUACAAGGAAAGUUUGGGACUGUCACUGGAGCUUUGUUUCACUUGCUUACAAAUCAUGAUAUAUGCAAAAAAAAAAAAAAUGAAAUGAGCAAGGAAACUCACAAUAAAGAGAAACAGUAAAUUAUAAUACCAUACUUGAAAUAUGGGCAUGUGGCUAAUUCUUAAAUGGAUUGUAAGGAAAAUUUCAAUAUAAGAAAUGAUAAGUUGGUAGCAUUUACAAGAUUCGGGGGGAAAAUAUUAUUCAAGACAAAAAAUUAUGUAACAACUUCUAUUAUAUCUCAAUAAGAGACAAAAAUAGUAUUUUCUAUUUCCAACAGCAACGUAAGUGGGUAUUUAAUUCGCUUAAUCAAAUUUUUCAUCUACAAACAUGAUUUUAUGGUAGGGAAUAUGGGUUCUUAAGGAUGCUUGCAAUAUUUCAU